rnacentral:lncRNA from 9 species
GCAGUAGAAGCCAGAAGCAUGGGGGAACCAGCCAUGCCUCAGAGGUCAUCAUCUCAGAAAAAGCAUAAGGUUACGGAACAAAGACCUGAGAAUAUAUUUCCUCACCACUGUGGGAAGGAAUUAAGAUGGAGUAAUAUUUUUCCAAUAGAAUAAUUCCAGAAUGAUGAUCUUCAAGCAAAUUUUUUGACUUAUUUCUAUUUUGCCAAGCUUUCGAAACACCAAAUUAGAAACAAGCCUAUUGUCUUCCACACAAUUUCUGCACUGUGAAGAAUGAAAAACACCACCAGAGUGCCUGCCUGCCUUAGAGGGGAAAA